GAAUACCAUGCAACACUCUACACAAAACAGUCAUAAUCAUAAACCCAAUGUCUUGGGAUGUUCAUUUAUAGAUCAGUUCUAUAAAUUAAUGCAGGUACGUCUGUUUUGAGGGUUUUCUAUGGGUCUCUUUGUCUCUGCUUUUUCUCAUGGCCACAUAGUUUUGGGCUCUUGCACAGGCUGGUCCAUGGGGGAGGGUCCCGCAGGCCUCAGAGUGAGUUUUAAAGAUUAUUUGUUAAAUAUGACAAAUAAUUGUGUCUGAUUUGUCUCAGUCGUUACACAGGUCAUGAUUGGAUGGCGAUGAUGACUGAAGGAUCCGGGGAAGCACACAACUCUGUUUGAGCACGUUAAGUGUACAGAUAACACUUUCCCACAGGAUUUCAGGCACAAAGAUGAAGGAGAUUGUUGGAGAUUCACAGGAACAUUAAUUAAGGAAAAAUAGAGCAUUUGCGCUUUGAAAAGAAAAAGAAAAAGAAAACAAAACUAAAAACAGCUGACAUGCUCAAAACUCAUGUGAUGGCAAGGGUUGGUAUCUGAUCCUUGGGCUCCUGGAUCUGUAGACAAUCACUCCACACACUAUGGCAACUGUUGCUACGAGACAGCUAGCGACCACAACAAGGUUUAGAUUCAGACCUUGGGUUACGGUGAUCUCUGAAAUCCGCAGGGGCCCUUGGGAGAUCAAGUGGCUGCCAGUCUGGAUGGAAGCCUCUCUUUUGUGAUGGUGGUGGGAUGGUGGAGCGAAUGUGCUGUUAACACAACCCUGAGAGCAGCGGGUGUUGGGAUUGUUCGCCUCGC